AGUGGGGAGGGACGCACACUCUGUAAACAGGAAUAGGUACAACACCGGUCACUGAGCUGGCAAGCUAAAGUUAGCUAGUUAGUCACAUAAAUGUACGUUCAGCCUGUUAAUUAUUUCAGUCAGAUUUUACGAAGUCAGCAUGGCUUAACAUAGUUUCUUUCGUUUUUGACCUAGACAUUUUUGCUGGAUAGAUACUGUCAUAGCUAACAUGCUGGCGAGAGCAGCAUACUGGUGGUGUCUUACAGAGGAGUGCCCGUUUUGAUUGAAGAUGAGUGUGACGUAGACCCCAGAAGUCUGCAGACUACAGGGGCCCUCCAUUCCCAACCCUGAAGCCCACUGUCCCCAGCAGGAAAGACCAGGAAAAUGUGUUGGCUUAACUUCCUAUGGAGGAAAUAUCUGCCAACCUGCUCGGUGGGUGACAAGUAACUGUCUUUCCACCAAGCUGUUCACUUCCUGGAGUGACACGCUGGAACUUCCAGAGGCUUGUAGACCUGAAGCAGUGUGAUGUGGGCCAGCUCAACCACAGUCUUCACAGCUGUAGUCGUCUGCCCCUGCAUCUGUUACCCCGGCCACGACAGGUGAUACAGAUCUGCCACCCCCCAGUUCAGCUGCAGUCACAGCAGUCCUCUGCUGUGGUAUUUAAUUUACCGGCUGCGCCAGUUCCUACUACACUGGCCGUGAAGGGAGAAACUUUUGAGGAUUCCUAGAUGGAUGCAGGAGACAGAAUAAUGCUGGAGUCCAAAGGCGGCAAACCCGGGAGAAGCAAGCUGAUAACUAUGAGGGUUUGCCUCAUCGCUGACCCUACCAUCCGGCAGCUGAACAGGAUAGUAUCUUUAGAGUAUCCUGUCUGGCAGAUCAAAGUGCCCUAUGGUCAGGAGGAGAGCAGCUUUUUUGGGGGAAAACAUUCCCCCAGAUGAAUACAAAUUUAGAGGCCUUUAAGACAGGAGGAUGCUCGUUCCCCUACAAAAAAAGGAUUGUUGUCAAGACAAUGGAGGACAGAGAUUGUGUGUUUGAAUUGGUGGCUCAACAAUUUGUCCAAGGUGGUCUUGGAGCAGUUGAAAUAUGGUCUCAACUCUCUUGGGCUGCUCGAGGCAUUGGGGAACCAUCCGGACAGCUUCCGAGCACUCCAUAAAGCCUCCCACUGCCAGGGACCUGUGGGACCUGCUUAAAGUAACCUAUUCCAUACCUGGCGGCAACCGGCCAUGUUUGGAGAACGACACCAUCUGCCACAGGUUCAACUGGCUGGCUGAGGUGCAAGGUAAAAUAGUAAAUUGUUCCAGUUUAUCGGUAACUGUAUAUUAUUCAAUUUUGUGAUUGAAAUGUUUUGCUGUGUACUCAGAUGGAGAAUGUCCUCCUCUAACAGUGGCGAUGGUGUUGGAGUUUGCUACUGGAGCAACGGUGAGGACACCCCGACCAUCGAAUUCCUCCACACAGCGCGAGGGCGUCUCGCCAGGCAGCAAAAUAAAAAGUACCCAAAGGCAAACACGUGUGCUGUGACACUAAGGCUCCCUCUUCAUAGCACCUACAAUGCCUUUAGGGAAUUCAUGACCUCCGGUAUUGUGAAUUCCCCACAUUUUGGUGUUGCAUAAAAACAUUUUUACGAUACAAUUGUAUCUUGUAGCACUAAACUACAGUAGCAAUUGAGUGUUUGGAAAUGUAACUGCACAGCAUUUAUCUACUUACAUCUGUAUUGUUUGUACAGUGCAUUCGGAAUGUAUUCAGACCCCUUGACUUUUUCCACAUUUCAUUAUGCUACAGCCUUAUUCAGAAAUGGAUACAAUCAUUUUUUACCCUCAUCAAUCUACACACAAUACCCCAUAAUGACAAAGCAAAAACAGGUUGACAUUUUUGCAAAUGUAUAAAAAAAGGAAAUAUGACAUGUAUUACCCUUUACUCAGUACUUUGCUGAAGCACCUUUGUCAGCGAUUACACCAUAGGCUUUUCUUGGGUAUGUCACUACAUUUUUUAUUAUUUAAUAGAUUUUAGAAUAAGGCUCUAAUGUAGCAACAAAAGGUGGAAAAAGUCAAGGGGUCUGAAUACUUUCCAAAUACACUGAAUUUCCAUAUUGGCUAUUUAUUUUACUCUUUACUGACACUUCACUAAUAACCAAUAUGCUUUGCUGAUAUUGACUGAAGUACUGCUGCCAUAUUGCAGCCAACUCAUCCAAAUCUGAUCAUUUGUUCUUAAUGUAGGACAUCAAAUUAACUUCAGCCAGUAUCAUUGAAUUAGAACGACAUGAAAUACGGCUUCCCAUCCACUGCAUUAAGUGACAGCUCCACUUCUGGGAACUGCACCUUAGUAGUGAAAUUUCAAAUGCAUUGAUCUAAGAACUAGAUCAAUUAGUCCUAGGCUCUCCAACCCUGUUCCUGUAGAGCUACCCUCCUGUAGGUUUACAUCAGGGCUCUCCAACCCUGUUCCUGGAGAGCUACCCUCCUGUAGGUUUUCAAUCCAACCUCAGUUGUAACUGACCUCAUUAACUUAUUAAGCAGGUAAUUAUUAAAAUUAGGACUAGAUUAGGAUUGGAGUGAACCUACAAGACAGUAGCUCCCCAGGAACAAGGUUGAGAGCCCUGCAUUAGUCCAUCUUCAGCCACAUCAUUUGAGCUAUGUGUCAACAAUGUUAUGUUACUAACUGUAAUAAGUUGCUGUUAAUCACAAUGAUAUAAAAUGUAACGGGGGCCGAACCACCAAAUCCCUA